rnacentral:rRNA from 1 species
ACUGGCAGGCUAGAGUCUUGUAGAGGGGGGUAGAAUUCCAGGUGUAGCGGUGAAAUGCGUAGAGAUCUGGAGGAAUACCGGUGGCGAAGGCGGCCCCCUGGACAAAGACUGACGCUCAGGUGCGAAAGCGUGGGGAGCAAACAGGAUUAGAUACCCUGGUAGUCCACGCCGUAAACGAUGUCGAUUUGGAGGUUGUGCCCUUGAGGCGUGGCUUCCGGAGCUAACGCGUUAAAUCGACCGCCUGGGGAGUACGGCCGCAAGGUUAAAACUCAAAUGAAUUGACGGGGGCCCGCACAAGCGGUGGAGCAUGUGGUUUAAUUCGAUGCA